GACGAACGCUGGCGGCGUGCCUAAUACAUGCAAGUUGAACGCUUCUUUCUUAUCGAACUUCGGUUCACCAAGAAAGAGGAGUAGCGAACGGGUGAGUAACACGUGGGUAACCUGCCCAUCAGCGGGGGAUAACACUUGGAAACAGGUGCUAAUACCGCAUAAUGCUUUUUCUCACAUGAGAGAAAGCUGAAAGGCGCUUUUGCGUCACUGAUGGAUGGACCCGCGGUGCAUUAGCUAGUUGGUAGGGUAACGGCCUACCAAGGCAACGAUGCAUAGCCGACCUGAGAGGGUGAUCGGCCACACUGGGACUGAGACACGGCCCAGACUCCUACGGGAGGCAGCAGUAGGGAAUCUUCGGCAAUGGACGAAAGUCUGACCGAGCAACGCCGCGUGAGUGAAGAAGGUUUUCGGAUCGUAAAACUCUGUUGUUAGAGAAGAACAAGGAUGAGAAGAGAAUGUUCAUCCCCUGACGG
rnacentral:rRNA from 1 species